AUCACUUCUUGGCCUUUUGGCUAAAAUAAGUGUGCUCUCUGUUAUUAUUAGUUUAAUAUCUGACAUGUCUUCUACUUAAGAACAAUGUAUUAACUAUAUUUUUGGAGUUUGGAACUGAAGUUAGGGCUUGCUCCAUCCACUCUGCAUGUUGGCAUGGUAUUAUAGUGCUUCCAGAAACAAUGCUCCCCUU
ensembl:snRNA U2 U2 spliceosomal RNA